rnacentral:rRNA from 1 species
GACGAACGCUGGCGGUGUGCUUAACACAUGCAAGUGGUGCGACGAACCAGAGCUUGCUCUGGGGCAAAGCCGCGAACGGGUGAGUAACACGUGGGUAAUCUACCCCGAUGACCGGGACAACCCGAGGAAACUCGGGCUAAUACCGGAUGUGGUACGGAGACAUAAGUCUCUUUACUAAAGGUAGCUUCGGCUUCCGCAUUGGGAGGGGCCCGCGGCCCAUUAGCUAGUUGGUGGGGUCAAGGCCUACCAAGGCAACGAUGGGUAGCUGGUCUGAGAGGACGAUCAGCCACACUGGGACUGAGACACGGCCCAGACUCCUACGGGAGGCAGCAGUGGGGAAGUCUUGCGCAAUGCGCGAAAGCGUGACGCAGCAACACCGCGUGAGGGAAGACGGCCUUAGGGUUGUAAACCUCUUUCAGAUGGGACGAAGGUGAUGCGGUGAAUAGCCGAUGUCAUUGACGGUACCGUCAGAAGAAGCUCCGGCUAACUACGUGCCAGCAGCCGCGGU